rnacentral:rRNA from 1 species
AUUGAACGCUGGCGGCAUGCUUUACACAUGCAAGUCGAACGGCAGCACGGGCUUCGGCCUGGUGGCGAGUGGCGAACGGGUGAGUAAUGCAUCGGAACGUGCCCAUUUGUGGGGGAGUAACGCGGCGAAAGUACGCGCUAAUACCGCAUACGUCCUGAGGGAGGAAAGACGGGGGAGUCUUCGGACCUCGCGCGAUUGGAGCGGCCGAUGUCGGAUUAGCUAGUUAGUGGGGUAAAAGGACCCACCAAGGCGACGAUGCGUAGCUGAGCUGAGAGGCUAAACAGCCACACUGGGACUGAGACACGGCCCAGACUCCUACGGGAGGCAGCAGUAGGGAAUUUUCGGUCAAUGGGGGAAACCCGUGACCGAGCAAUGCCGCGUGAACGAUGAAGGUCUUCGGAUUGUAAAGUUCUGUGAUUGGGGAAGAAUGGUAUUCUUAGGGAAUGAGGAGUACAUGACGGUACCCGAUUAGAAAGCCCCGGCUAACUAUGUGCCAGCAGCCGCGGUAAA